ACCAGGUAUGGUAGUGCAUGCCUGUAAUCCCAGCUAUUCUGGAGGCUGAGGCAGGAGGAUUGCUUGAGCACAUGAUUUUGAGCAGCCUGGAUAACACAAUGAGACCCCUGUCUCAA
rnacentral:sRNA from 1 species